rnacentral:rRNA from 1 species
GAUGAACGCUGGCGGCGUGCCUAAUACAUGCAAGUCGAGCGAACAGACGAGGAGCUUGCUCCUUUGACGUUAGCGGCGGACGGGUGAGUAACACGUAGGUAACCUACCUAUAAGACUGGGAUAACUUCGGGAAACCGGAGCUAAUACCGGAUAAUAUUUCGAACCGCAUGGUUCGAUAGUGAAAGAUGGCCUUGCUAUCACUUAUAGAUGGACCUGCGCCGUAUUAGCUAGUUGGUAAGGUAACGGCUUACCAAGGCAACGAUACGUAGCCGACCUGAGAGGGUGAUCGGCCACACUGGAACUGAGACACGGUCCAGACUCCUACGGGAGGCAGCAGUAGGGAAUCUUCCGCAAUGGGCGCAAGCCUGACGGAGCAACGCCGCGUGAGUGAUGAAGGUCUUCGGAUCGUAAAACUCUGUUAUUAGGGAAGAACAAACGUGUAAGUAACUGUGCACGUCUUGACGGUACCUAAUCAGAAAGCCACGGCUAACUACGUGCCAGCAGCCGCCGUAAUAC